GAUGAACGCUAGCGGAGGCUUAACACAUGCAAGUCGAGGGGCAGCAUAGGGUAGCAAUACUCUGAUGGCGACCGGCAAACGGGUGAGUAACGCGUAUGCAACUACCCUGUACAGGGGGAUAACCCGGAGAAAUUCGGACUAAUAUCCCGUAAUAAUAUCCGGAGGCAUCUUUGGAUAUUUAAAGUUCCGACGGUACGGGAUGGGCAUGCGUAACAUUAGCUGGUUGGUAAGGUAACGGCUUACCAAGGCUAUGAUGUUUAGGGGUCCUGAGAGGGUGGUCCCCCACACUGGUACUGAGACACGGACCAGACUCCUACGGGAGGCAGCAGUGAGGAAUAUUGGUCAAUGGGCGCAAGCCUGAACCAGCCAUCCCGCGUGCAGGAAGACGGCCCUAUGGGUUGUAAACUGCUUUUCCAGGGAGAGAAACUUACGCACGUGUUGCGUGACUGACGGUACCCUGGGAAUAAGCAUCGGCUAACUCCGUG
rnacentral:rRNA from 1 species